GUGGAUUAGAUACCCUGGGAGUCCACGCCGUAAACGAUGGAUACUAGCUGUUUGGCAGCAAUGCUGAGUGGCUAAGCGAAAGUGAUAAGUAUCCCACCUGGGGAGUACGAACGCAAGUUUGAAACUCAAAGGAAUUGACGGGGGCCCGCACAAGCGGUGGAGCAUGUGGUUUAAUUCGAUGAUACGCGAGGAACCUUACCAGGGCUUAAAUGUAGUGUGACAGGACUGGAAACAGUUUUUUCUUCGGACACAUUACAAGGUGCUGCAUGGUCGUCGUCAACU
rnacentral:rRNA from 1 species